rnacentral:rRNA from 1 species
GUGAUGAAGGUCUUCGGAUCGUAAAGCACUGUCGCGAGGGACGAAUAAGGGUCGGGCUAACAAUCCGGUCCGAUGACGGUACCUCGAGAGGAAGCACCGGCUAACUCUGUGCCAGCAGCCGCGGUAAUA